rnacentral:lncRNA from 1 species
UGAGCAAGAAACAGGUUCAGAUAGCAAAAAGAAUGGUGCAGAUAGCAAGAAAAGGAGCAGAAACGCGCAAGAAGCCUAAGCCCAACCCAAAGCCCAACACACAAAACUCAGAUUGCACAGGAGACGUUGGAUUGAUCCAGGGUAGGAAACCCUAGAUCCAACGGCCAGGAAUGAAGGAGGUUGGACCGGUCCUGAACCGGUCCGGUUCACUGGCUUUAU